rnacentral:rRNA from 1 species
UACGGAGGAUGCAAGCGUUAUCCGGAUUCAUUGGGUUUAAAGGGUGCGUAGGCGGGCUAUUAAGUCAGUGGUGAAAUCCUGCAGCUUAACUGCAGAACUGCCGUUGAUACUGAUAGUCUUGAGUUUGGUCAAGGUAGGCGGAAUGUGUAAUGUAGCGGUGAAAUGCUUAGAUAUUACACAGAACACCAAUUGCGUAGGCAGCUUACUGAGCCGACACUGACGCUGAGGCACGAAAGCGUGGGGAUCAAACA